UAAUACCGGAUAGAUCAAAGAAACUGGAAUGUUCUAUGAUUUAAAAUUGCGGUGCCCAAGGAUGGGUCUGCGGCCUAUCAGGUAGUAGUGGGUGUAACGUACCUACUAGCCUACGACGGGUACGGGUUGUGAGAGCAAGAGCCCGGAGAUGGAUUCUGAGACAUGAAUCCAGGCCCUACGGGGUGCAGCAGGCGCGAAAACUUUACACUGCGGGAAACCGCGAUAAGGGGACCCCGAGUGCCAGCACCUAGUGCUGGCUGUCCAGCUGUCUAAAAAACAGCGGUUAGCAAGGGCCGGGCAAGACCGGUGCCAGCCGCCGCGGUAACACCGGCGGCCCGAGUGGUAGCCGUUUUUAUUGGGUUUAAAGGGUCCGUAGCCGGCUUAUUAAGUUUCUUGGGAAAUCUGGCGGCUCAAUCGUCAGGCGUUC
rnacentral:rRNA from 1 species